UUUCAGUUGAGAGGCUGAGAGGUACACUAGCUAUCAAGGAGGGAAGACAAGUUGGGAGACCAGAAAAAAUAUCUGGAUUGAAGACCUCAAUGGCUGAAGG
rnacentral:sRNA from 2 species